rnacentral:lncRNA from 1 species
AUGAUGCCAGUGUUCACAGAUCCCUGGGCUAGAGGGGACUGGGGGCACAUGGAGGCUUGGUGGAGAAGAAGGAUCCUGGGUCAGGACACGGAGGUGCUGAACACAGCUGUCCUCACCGGGAAGGCCGUGUCGGUUCCUGUCAAGGUCGUGGGCAUUCAGGAGGACGGCUCCGUGGUGGACGUGUCAGAGGCUGUGGAGUGCAGGUCUGCGGACGAAGAUGUUGUGAAGGUACAAGGGUCCUGACCAUCGGGCCUGCCAGGGGUCUGGUCCUCUGAGGGCCCUUCACUCUGUCCCAGGGUCUCAUUGGGCUGGAGCGAGGGUGACA